rnacentral:rRNA from 1 species
GACCCGACUGCUAUUUGGGUGAGGAUAAGCCAUGCGAGUUGAAUGGGAUACCUAAAUUUCCCAUGGCAAACUGCUCAGUAACACAUGAUCAACUUACCCUAUANAGAAAAAUAACCUCGGGAAACUGAGGAUAAUAUUUCAUAGUUGAAUAGGCUUGGAAAAGUUUUUCAAUUAAAGGGAUAAAAAAAAUGGUUUUUAUCUGCUAUAGGAUAGGAUCGUGGACGAUUAUGGUUGUUGGUGAGGUAACGGCUCACCAANCCGAUAAUCGAUAGGGGCCGUGAGAGCGGGAGCCCCGAGAUGGGUACUGAGACAACGACCCAGGCCUUACGAGGCGCAGCAGGCGCGGAACCUCCGCAAUACACGAAAGUGUGACGGGGUUACCCAAAGUGUUCAAUUCUGAACUGUGGUAGGUGAGUAAUGUUCCCUACUACAAAGGAGAGGGCAAGGCUGGUGCCAGCCGCCGCGGUAAAACCAGCUCUUCAAGUGGUCGGGAUAAUUAUUGGGCUUAAAGUGUCCGUAGCCGGUUUAGUAAGUUCCUGGUAAAAUCGGGUAGCUUAACUAUCUGUAUGCUANGAAUACUGCUAUACUAGAGGGCGGGAGAGGUCUGAGGUACUACAGGGGUAGGGGUGAAAUCUUAUAAUCCUUGUAGGACCACCAGUGGCGAAGGCGUCAGACUGGAACGCGCCUGACGGUGAGGGACGAAAGCCAGGNGAGCGAACCGGAUUANAUACCCGGGUAGUCCUGGCCCGUANACGAUGCAUACUAGGUGAUGGUACGGCCAUGAGCCGUAUCAUUGNCGUAGGGAAACCGUUAAGUGUGCCGCCUGGNAAGUACGGUCGCCAAGGCUAAAACUUAA